rnacentral:rRNA from 1 species
GCAUAUCAAUAAGCGGAGGAAAAGAAACCAACAGGGAUUGCCCUAGUAACGGCGAGUGAAGCGGCAACAGCUCAAAUUUGAAAUCUGGCUUCGGCCCGAGUUGUAAUUUGCAGAGGAAGCUUUAGGCGCGGCACCAUCUGAGUCCCCUGGAACGGGGCGCCAUAGAGGGUGAGAGCCCCGUAUAGAUGGACGCCUAGCCUGUGUAAAGCUCCUUCGACGAGUCGAGUAGUUUGGGAAUGCUGCUCAAAAUGGGAGGUAAAUUUCUUCUAAAGCUAAAUAUUGGCCAGAGACCGAUAGCGCACAAGUAGAGUGAUCGAAAGAUGAAAAGCACUUUGAAAAGAGGGUUAAAUAGCACGUGAAAUUGUUGAAAGGGAAGCGCUUGUGACCAGACUUGCGCCGGGCGGAUCAUCCGGUGUUCUCACCGGUGCACUCCGCCCGGCUCAGGCCAGCAUCGGUUCUCGCGGGGGGAUAAAGGCCCUGGGAACGUAGCUCCUCCGGGAGUGUUAUAGCCCGGGGCGUAAUGCCCUCGCGGGGACCGAGGACCGCGCAUCUGCAAGGAUG